CUAUCUUCAAAUUCUUUCUCACAUACAUAUACUCUCAUUUAGUUUCAUGAUUCUGCAACACACCAUUCUACUAUCAGAGUCCUCUCCUCUCCUUCAAGGUAUGUAUAUCCGGAAGUGGCUUUUGAGAAUAUAUAACUCUUUGAGGCAAAUAUUUUGGAUUAUGAAUCUGUUCUUGCAGCUAGACCCCACAAUGAAACUCAAGAAGAGAAAAAAACUCUAUUCAAAAGGGAAGCUCCAUACAACAAUUAUGAUUUCCUUGAUUAUUAAUAAGGUGGUCAAAUAAAGGGUAAGUAUUGGCCAAUUGUGGACGUGAGGGACGUAGCAAAUGCAUUACUUUUGGCUUACGAGAAUCCUAUAGCCAAAGGGAGAUACAUAUGCAUGUCCCACACUAUAACCGAAAAAGAUCUGAGAGAGAAGAUGAGGAUUUUAAAUCCCAACUUAAACUUACCCCCCACAAUGUGCGUCGAAGAUGAUGAUAUCUAUGAGGAGGUGAAUAGCUAUGUUGAUGAGGAGGAUGUUAAACGGCAGCUGAGCUCUAUGAAACUGCAGAUAGAUUUGGAUUGGAGGUUCAAGCCGAUCGAAGAGACAUUGGCUGAUAGUUUUAGAAAUACUAACAUAAUGCGGCGCUAUAAACCAGAGAGCGCUAUGUCGUAUAUUUCACAACUUAAUUUUUGUAAUAAGGAUUUAUGUUUGGUUUCCAAACAGUGUCUGCUAGUGAUAGGUGCUACAGCAGACCCAUUCAUGCUUACUUAUGCUUGUACGCAAUCCUCAUAUCUUAGGGUUAAUAUGAUUGAAUCCCAUAUAUAUUUCAUGGUUAUACAUGCUAUACAUUUUCUUAAGCAAGUGUUUGCGCAUAUCAGGUUAAUUAUGUAGGCAGAUUUGGUAUUACAAGUCGGAAUUCUCUCAGAAUUCAAAGCGAAGGUUGAAGAGUCGGAAUUCUCUCAGAAUUUAAAGCGAAGGUUGAAGAUGCUGCUUGUAUUUUGUAUAUUAAACUGUAAGUUACUGUUAGCCUUGUUGGUCUGAGCUUAACUUUUGUGUGCAAGUUUUUUAGGUUUUUUCAAUUAGUUAUGGGUUGGUUGAUAGUGGUAGGAGUUUUUUGCAUUCUCUUUGAUUUAUCCACAAACAAGGUAUAUUAGCGGUCCUUCCGGAGUUGUAUAUGCAGUUUUAAGAGGCAAUGGACAAAAGCUAAAUUGGCAAACAAGGUAUACCAGAGAUUAUUCACAAAAUAAAGCAGAAGCUAGGCGUGAUAGGAUGGAUACAAUCAUGCUAUAAUGUACACCCAACUUUAGUUCAUAUAGAAUUGUGGUCCCCAAUUUUGGAGAAGCAUACCUCAUAUACAAGGAUUUCAUUUAAGUGACUAAUUUCACUUCCGGAAUGAUACCGGGUAACCAAUUUUAGUGACAGCCAAUUCAUGAAACACCAAAACAAAACAAAUAAAUAAUAGCCAUGAGUAUAAAGUAUAGUAAAAAGAGAAUUUGAAAAGAUAGGAGAUGCCAUUAGAAUAAUUAUUAUUGCUGCACCUAAAAAUUAUUUCUUGUAAGCUUUGUUAAAGCAAAAGUAUUUUUAGGCAGAAUUUGUUAAAGCAAAAGUUAUGCUGUUCUAUGUCAAGCAGGGAAUAAAGAAUAUAUAUGCAAAGUGUAAAAAAUAUCCUAUUUCAAUGUAACAAGUUUUGGGGCAUAUAACAGCUUGUUGUGAUUCUUCUUUUUUUUCAUAUACAUUAUUCAUGCUAUAUGUUAGAGCUUUUCAUAUGCAUGCAUGGCCAAGUUGUAAUUUGUCUGAGGAGGGUUAAUAAUGUAAAUAAAAUUGAUGAUUAUGAAUAUUCGAAUUGCCUUUACCAUACAACACAAACUGCAUUAUAUUUUCCUUGGCUUCGAUUCUUAUUGUGAUAUUGAAGCAAGUAACAAAGUUAGGUCCAUUAUACUUUUCUUAUACUAUUCAAUUUCCUCAUAGAAAACACACGUAUAUAAGUUCUGUCCACAAAUUUAGAACUUGAUAUUCCUUCAUUACAAUGACUCUAGAAUAUUGGCAGCAAUUUGAUGGUGACGUUUCAUGUUAUAAAUUAAAGCAAAUCAGUUCCUUGAAACUCAACUCAAUCGAAACCAAAGUUACAAUUACUUUCUCCCCUCAAUUCAAGCAAUGAAACUCAAGAAGAGAAAAAAACUAUAUUCAAAAGGGAAGCUCUAUACAACAAUUAUGAUUUCCUUGAUUAAUAAGGAGGAAGUAAUUGAACCUGCGAUCCAAGGAACAUGCAAUGUACUUCAAGCUUGUAAAAUUGCUAAUGUCAAACGAAUAGUGUAUGUUUCAUCGGGGGCUGCCAUAAUAAAAAAUCCCUAUUUUCCAAAAACUGGACCCAUUAAUGAGUUAAGUUGGUCUAAUGGAGAUUUCUGCCUAAAAUAUAAGAGGUGGUAUUGCUACGCCAAGACAAUGGCAGAAAAGAAUGCAGUGGAAAUUGCAAAAAGAGAUGCGCUUGAUUUAAUUAGCAUUUGCCCUACUCAUGUUAUGGGACCAUUGUCAGAGUCACCCACUAAUGCUAAUGUUGCAUAUAGAAUUUUUGGUACUAGGCCUAGAGUUUGUUUUCAUUAUAGUGAGUGAAAAUGAAAUAAAGUGGCGUAUCAGAGGGACGUAUUUUGUAGUUUGUGGACAUAGAUCACACAUAGUUGACCAUCAUCUAUACAUCUCUGACAUAGUUCUCACAUAAUUUACAAAUACAACGUUUUUUAAAAACUCCAUAAAUUUGGCUGUCGCAAUAAAAAUAAAGGCGAUUUACAUUUAAAUUGAUAGUUUUUGUUUGAAAAUAGUGGCGGUUCCAAAUCCCGUUUAAUUCACAUAAUAAGCAAAUGUAUUCAAAUUUUACAUUGUUGUAAUAUACUAAAAAAAUACGUCAUUUUAAAGCGUCCUAAUAUACUUAUGAUAUUAGCCAAAAUAG